GACGAACGCUGGCGGCGUGCUUAACACAUGCAAGUCGAACGGUGAAGCGCCUUCCUUUUUGGUGGGUGUGGAUGAGUGGCGAACGGGUGAGUAACACGUGAGUAACCUGCCCCCUUCUUCUGGAUAACCGCAUGAAAGUGUGGCUAAUACGGGAUAUUCUGGGUCUGUCGCAUGAUGGGUCUGGGAAAGAUGUUGUUUCGGUGGGGGAGGGGCUCGCGGCCUAUCAGCUUGUUGGUGGGGUGAUGGGCUACCAAGGCUGGGACGGGUGGCCGGCCUGAGCGGGUGGACGGUCACAGUGGGAGUGCGGCACCGCCCAGACUGCGACAGGGGGCAGCAGUGGGGGAUAUUGAGCAAUGGGGAAAAGCGUGAUGCAGCGACGCCGCGUGAGGGAUGGCGGCCUUCGGGUUAUGAACCUCUUUCGCCAGUGAAGCAGGCCUGCCUCGUUUGUGGGUGGGUUGACGGUAGCUGGAAAAGAAGCGCCGGCUAACUACGUG
rnacentral:rRNA from 1 species